rnacentral:miRNA from 1 species
GACUAGCCAUCCUGGCUUGCCUGGGACUGAGGGGUUUCCCAGGAUGUAGUACUUUCAGUGCCAAAACUGGGACAG